ACCUUCGGGUCACAUGAGAGAGUGGCGAACGGGUGCGUAACACGUGAGAAACCUGCCCCAAAGACGGGAAUAGCCCGAGGAAACUCGGAUUAAUACCCGAUACCUCCACAAUGUCGCAUGGCAUUGUGAAGAAAGUUCAGGCGCUUUGGGAGGGUCUCGCGGCCUAUCAGCUUGUUGGUGAGGUAACGGCUCACCAAGGCAUCGACGGGUAGCUGGUCUGAGAGGACGAUCAGCCACACUGGGACUGAGACACGGCCCAGACUCCUACGGGAGGCAGCAGUAGGGAAUCUUGCGCAAUGGGCGAAAGCCUGACGCAGCAACGCCGCGUGGGGGAUGAAUGCCUUCGGGUUGUAAACCCCUUUCAGCAGGGACGAAAAUGACGGUACCUGCAGAAGAAGCUCCGGCCAACUACGUGCCAGCAGCCGCGGUAAUACGUAGGGAGCGAGCGUUGUCCGGAAUUAUUGGGCGUAAAGAGCUCGUAGGCGGUUCAGUAAGUCGGGUGUGAAAACUCAAGGCUCAACCUUGAGACGCCACUCGAUACUGCUGUGACUUGAGUCCGGUAGAGGAGUGUGGAAUUCCUGGUGUAGCGGUGAAAUGCGCACAUAUCAGGAGGAACACCAGCGGCGAAGGCGGCACUCUGGGGCGGUAC
rnacentral:rRNA from 1 species